rnacentral:lncRNA from 10 species
GAGAUCGCGCCACUGCACUCCAGCAUGAGUGACAGAUCAAGACUCCAUCUCGAAAUAAAAAAAAAAAGAAAAAAGAAAUCUGCAUACUGCUCUCCAUAGAGGUUGGACUAAUUUACAUUCCUGCCCGCAGUGUAAAAUAGCUGCCUUGUGCCUUUCAUGUAAUUAUUUAUGUACAAGUGGUAGUUUGGAAUUAUUCUUGUUAUUAUCCAGGAUCUGCUAAGUGUCAGGUACUAUUCCUUAUGCUGAGGACACAUCUGUGAACAGGACAGACAGAGUCCCUGACCUCAUGACACUUACAUUCUGCUGCAGGAAAAGAGGCCAUCUUUUUUUUUUUUUUUUUUUUUUGAGGCGGAGUCUCGCUCUGUCGCCCAGGCUGGAGUGGAGUGGCGCGAUCUCUACUCACUGCAACCCCCGU